UGGGGAAUAUUGGACAAUGGGCGCAAGCCUGAUCCAGCCAUGCCGCGUGUGUGAAGAAGGCCUUUUGGUUGUAAAGCACUUUAAGCGAGGAGGAGGCCACUUGGAUUAAUACUCCAGGAUAGUGGACGUUACUUGCAGAAUAAGCACCGGCUAACUCUGUGCCAGCAGCCGCGGUAAUACAGAGGGUGCGAGCGUUAAUCGGAUUUACUGGGCGUAAAGCGUGCGUAGGCGGCUUCUUAAGUCGGAUGUGAAAUCCCUGAGCUUAACUUAGGAAUUGCAUUCGAUACUGGGAAGCUAGAGUAUGGGAGAGGAUGGUAGAAUUCCAGGUGUAGCGGUGAAAUGCGUAGAGAUCUGGAGGAAUACCGAUGGCGAAGGCAGCCAUCUGGCCUAAUACUGACGCUGAGGUACGAAAGCAUGGGGAGCAAACAGG
rnacentral:rRNA from 1 species